CACUGUUGCAUCUGCUAUCUUUGGUAGCAUUAUCGGAAAAGAGGUCAUUGUUCUGCUGCAGUUAACAGAUGCUAAUGUGGCCGGAGAUAGUAAUCUCUACAAUGUAGUAGAUUUGUGUGAUUCUGCAAUGUACGAAGGUGCAAUGGUUUGGCAUCACCAACUCAGGCUACCAGUUCAUUUUCUAUGGAGGGUGACUCUGUUGUUCCUGGCAUUGAGCUUUUUGAAACUCCAGGUUCAUCUCAUUCAGCCACAAAGAAAAUCAAAGUGGAGGAUACCCCAGCAUGAUGCUACAAGCGGCUUGAUUAUGCAACCCCUGUGCUGCGGCCUGUGCUCUUUU